CGUUUCAUAACAGCUUUUACAUUUCAAGAGCAGAGUCCUGCUGCUGGCUUCAGAGGAAUUGAAAAGGCAGAUGAAAGCGAAAUCAAUUGAGAAUCCUGCCACUUGUUUAAAUAUUUUGGCAAUUUAAAGUCACCAAGUCAUAAGAUGUUGGAGUGGAGAACCCUCUUUUCAGCGUGCUCAUUUUACAUUCUGAAGAAAUCCAGGGUGAGAAAGAACAAGGUGAAGAGGAGCAAGCAGAUGCUACUCGGGGCAACUCAGACCAUGGAGAGCGGCUUGCUGCACAGGCCC